AGUGAACGCUGGCGGCGUGCCUAAUACAUGCAAGUCGAACGGAGAUUAAGUAGCUUGCUAUUUAAUCUUAGUGGCGCACGGGUGAGUAAUAUAUAGCUAACUUGCCCAUUACUAAGGGACAACAGUUGGAAACGACUGCUAAUACCUUAUACUCCGUAUCUAUAUAAGUAGAUACGGGAAAGUUUUUCGUUAAUGGAUAGGGCUAUAUCGUAUCAGCUAGUUGGUAAGGUAAUGGCUUACCAAGGCUAUGACGCGUAACUGGUCUGAGAGGAUGAUCAGUCACACUGGAACUGAGACACGGUCCAGACUCCUACGGGAGGCAGCAGUAGGGAAUAUUGCUCAAUGGGGGAAACCCUGAAGCAGCAACGGCGCGUGGAGGAUGACACUUUUCGGAGCGUAAACUCCUUUUCUUGGGAAAGAAUUAUGACGGUACCCAAGGAAUAAGCACCGGCUAACUCCGUG
rnacentral:rRNA from 1 species